rnacentral:rRNA from 1 species
GACGUAGGGCGCGAGCGUUGUCCGGAUUUAUUGGGCGUAAAGAGCUCGUAGGCGGCUUGUCGCGUCGUUCGUGAAAACUUGGGGCUCAACCCCAAGCUUGCGGUCGAUACGGGCAGGCUGGAGUUCGGUAGGGGAGACUGGAAUUCCUGGUGUAGCAGUGAAAUGCGUAGAGAUCGUAAGGAAGACCAGUGGCGAAGGCGGGUCUCUGGACAGUUCCUGACGCUGAGGCACGAAGGCCAGGGGAGCGAACAGG